AAGGAGAGCCCAAAAAAUCCCCCAAAACAGUUUCUCUCUAGUUCCAGAUCUGAGAAUAGAAAUUCAAAUUCAAAAAAAUAGAAACAAUAGAAAACCAUCAAAAAAUAAAAAAAGUACUGUUCUAUUAGAAUUUUAGGUUAAUUUUGGCUUUUGGCUGGAUUUGUUGAUUUUCCAGUUCAGUUUUUGAUUGCUCUGGUUUCAAAGAUCUACUGGUUUGGUUUUGAUUGGUUUUGGUCUUUAUUGGGUUAUUCUGGGGUCAGCUCUUGGGUUUUAUGCUUCUGUGAAAUAUCCCGGUGCAUUUACAAGCAUAUCUGGGUACAUUCAAGUGAUUGUGGUCAAUUUCCAAGUUCUGUUUUGCUCUCAAAAUCUUCCUGAAUCGUUACCUGAUUUAGUGUGUGUUAUUGUUGCUGAUCUCUUCUUCUCCUUCACUGUAUUGUCAUUGCCAGGUACACACUUUGAGACUAUGUCAAUGUAUCUUCACUUGGUGAAAUCAUGAAAUGAAAUUGAAGCUGUAUAUCUGCUAAGGAACUGCAAUUUCAACCAUUCUGUUACAUUUUUGAUAGUUUCCUGUGAUAUAAUUAGUUGUUCACCGUAAUUGCUGAAAAGUGUAAUAGUUGGGGACUGUUAGCUUGAACUCAUUAGAUAAAUUUCUAUGAACAUGUAUUUAUGUGGUUUUCACUUGACUUAGUUCGUGUCAUUAAAAGUAGUAAGUCCAAAUUCAUAUUAAAUUAGAAAUAGAUGCUGGACGGUUUAGCUUGAUCGCUUGGUGAUAGUAUGGUGUAAUCAGAUUUGCUUGUAUGGUUUAACUUUUGAAAUUAGAAAAUAGCUUGAAUCAGAAAUGUGUUCGAGAUUUAUUCAGCAUAUGGGUCUUUGUUCACGUCCAUCAUGAUAACAGUUUGUUUUAAGUGACAAAGUCAGUAUUCAGCUUUAAAAUCAUGAA
rnacentral:lncRNA from 1 species